AGAGUUUGAUCCUGGCUCAGGACGAACGCUGGCGGCGUGCCUAACACAUGCAAGUCGAACGGGGUGAGGCCCUUCGGGACCUUACCUAGUGGCGAACGGGUGAGUAACGCGUGAGGAACCUGCCUUUCAGUGGGGGACAACAGUUGGAAACGACUGCUAAUACCGCAUGAAGCUUUUGGGAGACAUCUCCUGGAAGCCAAAGCUUAAUGUGCUGAAAGAUGGCCUCGCGUCUGAUUAGCUAGUUGGUGGGGUAACGGCCCACCAAGGCGACGAUCAGUAGCCGGUCUGAGAGGAUGAACGGCCACAUUGGGACUGAGAUACGGCCCAGACUCCUACGGGAGGCAGCAGUGGGGAAUAUUGGGCAAUGGGCGAAAGCCUGACCCAGCAACGCCGCGUGAAGGAAGAAGGCCUUCGGGUUGUAAACUUCUUUUACCAGGGACGAAGGACGUGACGGUACCUGGAGAAAAAGCAACGGCUAACUACGUGCCAGCAGCCGCGGUAAUACGUAGGUUGCAAGCGUUGUCCGGAUUUACUGGGUGUAAGGGCGUGUAGGCGGAGAUGCAAGUUAGGAGUGAAAUCUAUGGGCUCAACCCAUAAACUGCUUCUAAAACUGUAUCCCUUGAGAAUCGGAGAGGCAAGCGGAAUUCCUAGUGUAGCGGUGAAAUGCGUAGAUAUUAGGAGGAACACCAGUGGCGAAGGCGGCUUGCUGGACGACAACUGACGCUGAGGCGCGAAAGCGUGGGGAGCAAACAGGAUUAGAUACUCUGGUAGUCCACGCUGUAAACGAUGAAUACUAGGUGUGGGGGGACUGACCCCCUCCGUGCCGCAGUUAACACAAUAAGUAUUCCACCUGGGGAGUACGACCGCAAGGUUGAAACUCAAAGGAAUUGACGGGGGCCCGCACAAGCAGUGGAUUAUGUGGUUUAAUUCGACGCAACGCGAAGAACCUUACCAGGACUUGACAUCCAACUAACGAAGUAGAGAUACAUCAGGUGCCCUUCGGGGAAAGUUGAGACAGGUGGUGCAUGGUUGUCGUCAGCUCGUGUCGUGAGAUGUUGGGUUAAGUCCCGCAACGAGCGCAACCCCUAUUGUUAGUUGCUACGAAAGAGCACUCUAGCGAGACUGCCGUUGACAAAACGGAGGAAGGCGGGGACGACGUCAAAUCAUCAUGCCCCUUAUGUCCUGGGCUACACACGUAAUACAAUGGUGGCCAACAGAGGGAAGCGAAGCCGUGAGGCAGAGCAAAUCCCUAAAAGCCAUCUCAGUUCGGAUUGCAGGCUGCAACUCGCCUGCAUGAAGCUGGAAUUGCUAGUAAUCGCGGAUCAGCAUGCCGCGGUGAAUACGUUCCCGGGCCUUGUACACACCGCCCGUCACACCAUGAGAGUCGGGAACACCCGAAGUCCGUAGUCUAACCGCAAGGGGGGCGCGGCCGAAGGUGGGUCCGGUAAUUGGGGUGAAGUCGUAACAAGGUA
rnacentral:rRNA from 1 species